rnacentral:rRNA from 1 species
AGUGAACGCUGGCGGUAGGCCUAACACAUGCAAGUCGAACGGCAGCACAGUAAGAGCUUGCUCUUACGGGUGGCGAGUGGCGGACGGGUGAGGAAUACAUCGGAAUCUACUUUUUCGUGGGGGAUAACGUAGGGAAACUUACGCUAAUACCGCAUACGACCUACGGGUGAAAGCAGGGGAUCUUCGGACCUUGCGCGAUUGAAUGAGCCGAUGUCGGAUUAGCUAGUUGGCGGGGUAAAGGCCCACCAAGGCGACGAUCCGUAGCUGGUCUGAGAGGAUGAUCAGCCACACUGGAACUGAGACACGGUCCAGACGCCUACGGGAGGCAGCAGGGGGGAAUAUUGGACAAUGGGCGCAAGCCUGAUCCAGCCAUACCGCGUGGGUGAAGAAGGCCUUCGGGUUGUAAAGCCCUUUUGUUGGGAAAGAAAAGCAGCAGGUUAAGACCCCGCUGUUCUGACGGUACCCAAAGAAUAAGCACCGGCGAACUUCGU